UACGGAGGGUGCGAGCGUUGUCCGGAAUCACUGGGCGUAAAGGGCGCGUAGGCGGCGCGGGUAGUCAUCGGUGAAAGUUCAGGGCUCAACUCUGAAUCGGCCGGUGAUACUCUCGUGCUUGAGCACUGUAGAGGCAGGUGGAAUUCCGGGUGUAGCGGUGGAAUGCGUAGAGAUCCGGAAGAACACCGGUGGCGAAGGCGGCAUUCUGGACUGCAACUGACACUGAAAGACGAAAGCCAGGGGAGCAAACGGG
rnacentral:rRNA from 1 species